UAAAGUGAAAGUAGUUUUCCACCAGAGAAGAGAGAGAGGCCUUCCAGUCGGGGGACAGCGUGUGCGAAUUCACAGAGGAAGGAAACAGCUGACUCUGACUCAGUCCAUAAAAUAAUGAUGUGUCUUACAUACGUGGCAUCUUGGACCUGAGGAAAUACAGCCAUGCUUACCCAGUGUGAGGCACUGUCCAUUUCAAUCUCACAAUGACCCUGUGAGGGACCUUGGGCCAAUCACAUUCUGAGCCACCUGUGUAACAAGGGCGAUGGCACCCACCUAAGGAGGUUGUGAGGAUUCAUCUCAAAUGAAUGAGAUGCUGCACGUAAAGCCUGAUACCCGGCACACAACAAGAACUCAAUAAAGGUUUUCCUGUAUUCUUUUUAGUCUGAACAACAAAACGAUGAAAGAUAUUCAAAGUACGGUCCCAAGGCUGGCCUUCCUGGUGAGUGUUUUUUAAUAACUCUUUUUAUAUCUUUCUCUCUUUACAUCACCACCCCCACUUCCCCACCCAAAUGAAGUUUUUAAUGAAGAUAGCACACCACUGAGUCUCAAGUUGAGACCCGAAGUAUCCAAACUUAGU